rnacentral:rRNA from 1 species
UUGUAAGUUUCGGGAUCAAUAUGUUGGUCGUGCCUCGGUACGUACUAGCUUAUUGGGUUUCUCCCNUUUCUGAAGAACCAUGAUGUCAUUUAUUUGGUGUCGUGGGGAAUCAGGACUGUUCUUUAGAAAAAAUUAGAGUGUUUAAAGCAGGCUCACGCUUGAAUACAUUAGCAUGGAAUAAUGAAAUAGGACGUUUGAUUCUAUUUUGUUGGUUUCUAGGAUCGACGUAAUGAUUAAUAGGGAUAGUUGGGGGCAUUAGUAUUCAAUUGUCAGAGGUGAAAUUCUUGGAUUUAUUGAAGACUAACUACUGCGAAAGCAUUUGCCAAGGAUGUUUUCAUUAAUCAAGAACGAAAGUUAGGGGAUCGAAGACGAUCAGAUACCGUCGUAGUCUUAACCAUAAACUAUGCCGACUAGGGAUCGGAUGAUGUUAAUUUUUAAUGACUC